GUGGGGAAUAUUGGACAAUGGGCGAAAGCCUGAUCCAGCCAUGUCGCGUGUGUGAAGAAGGUCUUCGGAUUGUAAAGCACUUUAAGUUGGGAGGAAGGGCAGUAAGUUAAUACCUUGCUGUUUUGACGUUACCGACAGAAUAAGCACCGGCUAACUUCGUGCCAGCAGCCGCGGUAAUACGAAGGGUGCAAGCGUUAAUCGGAAUUACUGGGCGUAAAGCGCGCGUAGGUGGUUUUGUAAGUUGGAGGUGAAAUCCCCGGGCUCAACCUGGGAACUGCCUCCAAAACUGCAUGACUAGAGUACGGUAGAGGGUAGUGGAAUUUCCUGUGUAGCGGUGAAAUGCGUAGAUAUAGGAAGGAACACCAGUGGCGAAGGCGACUACCUGGACUGAUACUGACACUGAGGUGCGAAAGCGUGGGGAGCAAACAGGAUUAGAAACCCUGGUAGUCC
rnacentral:rRNA from 1 species